GCGGAAGUGGUGAAACUGGUAGACACGCAGCUUUGAGGGGGCUGUGGGAGUAAUCCCGUGGGGGUUCGAGUCCCUUCUUCCGCACCA
rnacentral:tRNA from 2 species